UACAGAGGGUGCGAGCGUUAAUCGGAAUUACUGGGCGUAAAGCGUGCGUAGACGGCUAUCUAAGUCGGGUGUGAAAGCCCCGGGCUCAACCUGGGAAUUGCAUUCGAGACUGCAUAGCUAGGAUGCGGAAGAGGGAAGUGGAAUUUCCGGUGUAGCGGUGAAAUGCGUAGAUAUCGGAAGGAACACCAGUGGCGAAAGCGACUUCCUGGUCCAGCAUCGACGUUCAGGCACGAAAGCGUGGGGAGCAAACAGG
rnacentral:rRNA from 1 species